AUGUGAGGAUCCAACUAAUAUUUCUGUUAGUGCUUUUCACAGUGCCCAGAAACUGUUAUAUUUUUUUGUCUCAUUUUAAUAACUACCUUUGGUAAGUAGAAGACAGAAAGGGAGGCAGUUGAUUUGAGUUGUUAGUGCUGAGAGCAACAGCUUUGGUGGGGGAUGAAGAAAUGAAAGAGUAAGUUUUCUGAUUAGUGUCAUAGACAUGAACACUGUGAUCGUCCUUCCAAAGCAAAUGGGCUGGUGAGACAGUGUAAAGUCGGGAAGAGUUCAGCCAUGGACACUGUCAUGUAAAGUGUUGUUUCUGGCUUUGGAUUGACCUGUAUCUUAAUGUUGUAUCUGUUGGGAACAUCCUCUGGAGAAUGUCACUCAAUAGAAACAAUAACAAAAAUUAGAUAUCCUACUACUUUGAUGCCAAACAGUAAUGAGAACAGACGGCACUGUCUGUGGUAACUAAAAUGUUCAGUGUUUAGCUGUGGAGAGAGGCAUCCAUCCAGCUGGCCCUAAGAUCCUGAGUUUAACUAACUAACCGUUUUCUCUCUGUGAUCUCUACCAACAUGAACGUUGAUGAAGCUAGUUCUCAAACAUGGAAUUAAACCACAACAGGGCUGUGAUGGUGUUUUCCGACCCCUUUAAUUCAUAGCUACUUGACACUGUCCCUUCAAAGAAGGAUGAGCUAGCAGGAGCUGAGGAUCAGAAACAGGAUGCAUGGUUCCUGCUGAUCAUUGUGUAUGUAGGCUUAUUGACCCUUCUGAGUGCAGCCUCCUCUUCCUUUCUGUACUCUCUCCAUCAGCCAUAGCAGCUGGUUCAUGAUCUGAAAGAAACUCUAAUGGAAAAGAGAUGUUUGCCAAGUGGAAGAGGAGAAAACCAGCGGAUGUUGCAGACACAUCUGUUAAAACUGGAAAACAGAAUAAACUGUAAAAAUGGUAUUUGGGUCCCCUUUACAAAUUCUGGUGACUCAAAGGAGAGGAAGAAUGGGCUUGCAUUUCAACAGCUUAACUAGGAUUUUGAGGGGUCCUGGGGUUGAUUUCCAGCUCUGCCAAAGAAAGGUUACUUUGGAUAUUUAUAUGAAAGCUGAGGGAGAUUCAUUGAGUGUGAGUACAGCAGCUUAGGAUUUUUCUCCCCCUUUACUGUUGCUUUUUCAUACUAUAGAUUAAAUUGAUUUUUUCACUCCAUAAACUAGAUUUCCACUACUUUUUUCAUAUUUGUCAUGAAAUUAUUCGGGACGGCUGUUUAUUGUAAAAAUAGCUAGCAAAUCUUUUAGUAUGCCUACUUAUACACACAGAGUAGACAUUUGACACUGAAAGAGUUAAAAUCCUUUCUGUGGAGGAAGAAGAUAAUGGAGUGCUACAGAUAGUGUUCUUGACAUUUCAAGGUGGUGUGCUGUCCUUCCAUAAGGACAAGCUAAAAAGAAUGAACUAAUAACGCCCACACAAUUUCUGUAACCUGCCCCUACAUUCUUUUCCAUUCAGUGGGAAUCCUCCUGGUAACACUUGACGAGUCAGACCUUUAAUACAGUAUUAGUUUAUAGAAAAAAUGGACCAAUGAGAUUUACAGUUUACAUGACCUGUCAGUGUUGCAUAGAAGAAAUACUGAAGAUCUCUACUGUAACGUGCUACCUAGUGCAGUAUUUUGGAAGAGCGGUUGUGUUUUAGCUCAGUAUUUUGGAAGAUCUAAGUGUCUUAGAUCAAUUCCAUCAUGCUCUUCAAGAAAGGCCACUCUACUUGCACAUUAAAUUGCAUUCAUUGUAAAAUUAGUACUUCCUUUUUAACAUAGAGGAGAAGCUUAGAAGAUAUAAUGGACUUGUACAAACUUAGCCACAGUAAUCUCCUGCCAGAUAUGUGCUUCAUUAUUUAGGUGGCAUUACACUGAUAGACUCCUUCAGAUGCAAAGUGGACAUGCAAACCUAUCUUUCUGUCUUUGUUUGCUUAACUUAUUAUAAGCAAAAAAAACUGUGCGGACAGAAAGUGCUGAUUGCAGGUGGUGAGGGGAAGUUAAUCUUGAUUUAAAACUUCAGUCAAUAUGGCCCAGACUUCUGAGUGGUUCUAAGUGGUACAAUCACAUUUAUGAGAAAAAACAGAACUUCUGAAAAUUUGAGCAAUAAACUGCCUAAUUUUGAUAAUUCAAUGUGCAUCUUGAAUGACACAGACAAAUGCAGCUUUUAAUUAUUAUAACAUUGUUAUUGGGCUUUUAAUAAGCAAAGAUUCUUUAACCUUUUCCUUUUCUAUGUAUUGAUCUUGGAGUUUAGACAGAAAAUAUCUUAAGCUAUGCGACCAACAGGCAUUGAAUUGUUGUUGUUAGUAGUAGCAGUAAACACAUUAACUGUUACAUUUUGAAGAUAUUAAACAACUGUGAUAUUUUUUAACUGGUUCUUUUUGUACGAAGAAUCCUAGUAGAUGGCAAGAUAAAUAUCAAUGGAGUUGCAUUCAAAAUCUGUUUUAUUUACCUGGUCCAGCCUGAGUGAGCACAGCAGUUUUGCCUUGCAUUUCAUAGGUCAGCAAAUCUGGGAGGUGCACGCAGCCAUACCUGCGGUUCUCCAUUGUUAUGUGUCUGUUGAAUUACUCCAGGGACAUGUGAGUGUGUGGGGGAAACUUACUGAAGUUACCAAAUAGAGGUUCAUAAUGUCAAACUGCCGAAGUUUGUAUAGAGGUGCAAUGGUGCAGCUGCACGCCCUGGGCAGAGGUAGCACAUGGGGCAGAGCCAGCCACUGCCUGAGCAGUAGUGGUGUGGUUGGUUGCCAGGCGGGUUAGCAGCUAUUUUUGCACCACCUCCCCUCUAAAGUUGGUGCCUAAGGCUGUUGCCCCAGUUAUGCCCCCACAUCCUUCUGUCCCAGUUAGGCUACUGAGUGUGUAUCUAGCGAGCAUUGUGAUGUGGCAUCUUUAGUUAUUGUAAGUCAAUAUGAUAGGCCAGAUCCUUAAUAGGUGCAUCUACAUGUACAAUUAAUGUGAAGCAAUAAACUCCUGAGCUUAUUGCUCUGGAGUUUAUUGCCUCUGGGCAUGCCAUUUGGGCCUGUGCCUGGGACUACAGCAGGAUUGGAGCACCCCAGCUCCCAGCAGUCCUGGAGGGUCAGCCUGCCAGCCUUGGACUGCCUCCCCCAGCUCAAUGUGCUGUGGAGGGGAUGCCUGGGGCAUGAAGGUACUUCAGUGUGGCUAGCCGGCAGGCAGCCCCUGCGGUGAAGCACCCUCAUGCCCCAGCUAGCUGUGUUGGUGUCUACACAUGUGCUGUUGGGGAGUAAAAAACUGCAGCAGGAUAAUACUUGUAAAUACUUUCCUUUUAACUGCUGCAGAGUGAAUUAGUUUACUCCAGCCCGAUAGGGGCACACGUGUAGACAUGCAACGUUUACUGAAGAUCCAAUUAGUCUUCUCCACAGUAAAUGUCUCAUGUAGAUGUGCCCAGUGGGUGUAAAUUAGCACAGCUCUUUUGGAGCCAACAGGAGGACUGAGCCCGCUCUUUGAGGAUGUUGAGUCAAGAUAGUUGGGUGGAAGCAGUGUGGUUUGCACCACCAGUUGCUUUCAAAACAAUGAUUCAAAAACACUGUGGUUUAUGCAGAGAGCAGGGAUUUGUAGCAUACUUUUGUUUUGACAUAGAGAUUCCCCUUUCCUAAUACAGCCCACGUGCUUGAAGGAAAGAUGAUGGCAGCCCCAGUCUGACCCUGAUGUCUCUCUCGUUAGGAGCCAGCUUAAGAAUUUCACACCUCACUUAAUGCCAAAUUCAAUUUGCUGUUAUUUAUAAAGAUUACUUGCACAAAGAAGAGGCUGCUAGUUUAAACAGGGUCUGAAAGAAUUGGAGCAUUUAGAAGUGUGCAGCAGAGCAUGCCAAAUUAAGCUGGUUUUCUAAGGACAGGCAGUUUCUUUGAUUUUCAUUAAUUUAUUGCGUGUGUAAUUAUUUAAAGAAUUACACAUGGAGCUCAAAGAAAAUUCUCUGAAUUGGUUGGAAAAAAUCCAUUUAAGCCUAACAAGGGUGUACAAUGAUGUGACAAUUAUAUGAACUAAAGUCCUCUAAUUAUAUGAGGAACAUUCAAUAAACGCCUGUCUCAGUUUUUAUCCCAGGGUACAUCCCCUUUCACUGACUACAGGUUGAGCUGUUACGAUCUUUCAGCUCUUUUCUGGUUUGAAAUAUAGACAUUCUCAUCCUCUUUCCAUUCAGUCUACCAGCCCCUUGCAGCUAGCAGUUUCCCCUGUAUACAGAUUUCCUACUCUUUUCUCUGUUGCCACGCCAGAACCGAGGUGCGAUCAGACCUCCAUUGUUCUAUGUGCACUUCCAGUACAGAGUAGGCAGAAUCCCUACUUCAGGGACUGCAACCUAGACACAACUGAAAAGGAAGAAGGGAAUGGAGAAAUACAAGUGUGCACUGUCCUAGAUCACAUAGGAAGGCUGUGGCAGAACUAGGAAAUGAACUCAGAGCUCAAGUCCGAAUAUGGUGUCUUACAUAUAAUACUCUCUCUCUCCUCUGUAGGCUGCCCUGUGCCUGAAAUGCUCUCCUUCCUUCUUGCUGAGUGUCAGGUCUUUUACCUCUCUUCACAUCUUUUUUUCAAAUAAAACUUUUUUUUUCCUCUCAUGGAAAAUGUUGACCAAGAGAAAAGGAUGCCUCAUUUUGUUCCCUGGGGUAAAGACAGGGCUUGACUCACAGGGGUUCCUGGCUGUGGUGCAUCUAGUCCAACUAGAGAGCUCACCUUAUAGGUUAUGCCUACAGUGCUGCUGCAGAGCUGUGAAGAAUGCAGCAAGGAAGCAUGUUCCUGUUCUGCACAUGGCAAACCCAGGAAUGAGGCAGAGAACUGGCUCUGAGGAUGCCCCUGCUGCCUUCCACUUUCUCUGGUUUGCUUCACACUGUGGUAGGCUGGGCAAAUCCAGAGCAGGAAUGGAGGUGGGAGGGGCAGGGGCAAGGGACAUACUUCUCAUGACAUGUUCCAUCCCUGAGAGUACCAUUGAAACAGUAGAGACAGACAGACUUACAGAGGAGAAUAGGAAUAAAGACACUUAAGCUACAACUCUCCGGAGGUCCUGCAGAGUAUUUUGACUCAACAUACUUCUAUUUUCAGACAUCUUUAUUUUUUGAAGGAACCGCUUUCCUUUGUUGUGGGAAGCCACAAGCCAACCAGCCACAGCCAGCUUUCCAUAAGCCAACCUUUUGCCAAAGAAAAACAUUAAAAACCCCAGCUUGGAUGGAAAAUUGCUUACCACACCUGCAUCAUUUAGCCUACCCAUGUUAAUCUGAUCUCCAAAACAGUUCCCUCUUUACUAUGAAAAAGAAUUAUCCUCACUGUUGGUCUCUUGAUCUAACCACAAAGUAGUGCUUCAUCUCAGCUGAUGGCUAGUUGCAUGGGCAGAUGCAGUCCACUGCUCAUUGUAGGUGCAGGCCUUUAGGUUCAAAGCUGUGGACAAAAAAGUCUUGGCUAAAAUAAAAUUAUUAAACUUAGCUGCUAAAAAAUGUUUUUAAGCCGGAGGCCAAAUAAUGGAGUCUUGCAGCAAAUUUCUUCCCAUGACCCCGGUCCCAAGCAGUCCCACCACAAGCCAGAAUUAAAAAUUACUGUUAGAAUGUACUCUCCCUUUUUGUAACUAAGAAAGUAUCUAAGUGGGAGUGAAGGCUGCUGGGGGCUUGAGCACCCCUUUAGAGCACUGUGGAGGUAGCCCCCAUGCUGGAUUUCUGUUUCCAUGCAUUUUGAAGGCUGCACCACUUAAUCCUCCACUUAGAUGAGAUUCUACACAGAGAUUCCUGGUGUUUAUUGUGGGCUCUAAACUUCCUUCCAACUUUUCUUCUUGGCAAGAGAAUGAUAUGCACUAAAGGAAUUUAAUGAAGCAGAUACCAUCAAAAUGCUCUCGUUCAGUUUGGAUUCCAUUGUUGCUGAAGGGAAAUAUUACUGGCUGACGAAGCAUAAAGUAACAUGCACAACUAAGGGAAAGCAUGGUCUAAAGCAGUGUUCUGAACCCAUGGGUCGUGACCCAAAAAUGGGUCACAAGAAUAUGUGAAAGGGUCGUGAACCAACUUUAAAAAUUAAUCAACAGGCUUUAAAAAUGGAUUCCCCUUUAAUGGAGAAAAAUGUGAGAAACUGGCUUUUCCUGUGGAGACUGGCAGAGCUCCAGCCUGCUAGGAGCUGCUUGGGACCCAGGCCCCCCAAGCCCCCCCGCCACACCCCUCCUGCCCCACACACCCACUCCCUGCUUUGCACACUGGGGGGGCUAGGGCCUGGGGGCAGGAGGCACAGUUUGGGAGUGAGAGACACUGGGUUGGGACUGAUCAUCUAUGUUUACAAAUGGGUCCUGGUACAAAAAAGGUUGAGAACCGCUGAUCUAGAAGUUGAGAUUUUAGCCUGAGACUUGACAGUUUAGUUUGUGGCUAUCCCACAGCUCUCCUUUUGUGACUUCUUGGAUUAGUCACUAAUCUCCUGUAAGGGCACUUUCCUACCUCAUGGAAGAGUUGUGAGACUAAAUUCAUUAAUGGCUGUGGGGAGCUCAGAUAUGACAGAGAUGUGGCAUAUAGAAGUCCCUUCACGAGGAGGAGAGGAGAGCACUGCACUGCAACUCGCUCCCAGAGCAGUAAUCUACCUAUGUGCUGAGUGCUGAGCCAGGUUACCUGCAUACGCAGGAGAGAGAGGGGGAAGCAUGAGUUUUGUCCUCAACACAGUGUUGUGUGUUUUCUUUCUUCAAAAACAUUUAAGAGUCCAGUAGAGAGAAGAGGAGAGUUUUACAAGUUAACUGACUUUACUUGUCCAUAACUGUCCCUUCCACCAUACUGCCCACCAUUCUCCCCUCAAUUUGAGAAACUUUCUCAGGUCUUUAAAAAUCCAAGUGCAAUACAUUUAGCUUAAAAUUAUAUUUUAAAUAUAUAUAUUUUAGUACUGUAAGUUUUCAGCCACUGUGAUCUCCAGUCUGUGCUGGAAGUGACCUAGGGUCUGGCACUUAUCAAAUUCAGAUCCUUCAGUGUUACACACCUACUUGCCAUUUGGGGUUUCUUUCUCCAACUCUCAAUUUCUUGCCCCAAUGCUGUUGAAAGGUGAAUCUCUAGCAAUCAAUUUAUCAAAUGGUCUCCAAGAGACUCGGCUGCAGGAGAGCCCGCUGGAUGUGGAGAUUAAUAAGAGAUUUGUAGUGGUGAGAUUUCUUUUCUCCCCACUGAAUGUAUUUUUCUCAGGUUUCAAUUAAUCCUAUUCAGGAGCUGACUAAGGGCCUGAUCCUGCACCCCUUCCUUUUGAGGUCAUGGCUGCAAAGGCUGCAGGAAUGAGCAUUUCUUCCCUUAUGCUUAUUCUAUGUCUUUUGGGAAAAUGCACAGGCACAUCUACACAUGCACACAUACACACAAAGCUCCAAAGCUUUUAAAAAAUGUUCCUGCAUCUAUCAGAGCAUCCCAUUUUUAAUCUUACUAAUACCUUCUCUUCUAUUUUAAGAGCCAGCUUUUCAAAUCAGAUGGACCAAGCUGGGUAUGCAAAGGGCAAACUCACUCCACAUGGCAGAUGUACUACCUAACACCUUGAAAGGAAAAUUGAGAAGAAAGUAACAUUCAGAGAUAAGCUUCUUGGGAGCCAAAGUGUAAAGCUGAAUUGGACCAAUAGGAGAGGAGUACCAUUUCAGCAUUAGAAGUGUAGGAGAAGAUCUGCAGAGCCAUUAAGCAUUUGGAGUCUGCUUUUGGGAAAGAGAGGAUUGCUUUUGGAGUCCUUCAAGUGUGAUCUAACCCUUUGAAGAACACAGGUAAUAGGAUGAUUUUAUAUAUGACCUUUCUCUUUCACCUUCACUGCAAGUAUCAUUCAGGAGUUGCACGAAUAUGCCAGUCAUGGAAACACAUGUGGUAAAAAUGUGGAAAUGCUAUAGUAGGUCUAGACAAAGUAAGAGUGAAACAUGCCAUCUGGUAGUAAAGCAGGGGUUUUACUGAUAUAGUUGCUUUUAAAAUAUACGUGGAGGGGCACAGGGUAGAGAUUAGAGCAGUGGUUUUCAACAUACAACCCAUGGGCUGCAUGUGGCCCAAUCAGCACACUAACUGCAGCCCAUGUGACAUCCUGUCAGGUGGUUGUUUUUUUUAAAUGGAUACACAGGAAGUAAGUUGUGUGGGUGCAAUGCAUAUAACACGUUGAGAGCUGCAAGUGUGGCUCACUAUGGCAAACAGGUUGAGACCCACUGGAUUAGAGGGAGAGAAUGGGGAAAUGGAGAUUGAUUGGAGUACAUGGUCAAAGGAAUCCAUAAACAGCUACCAAAGCCAUUACAGCAGUCAGGAAUAACCAGCACACAGAUUGUCGUGCAUGUUGCUUUUACCUGGAUCCCUUCCCCUUACUGACUACAGAAGAAGAAGUUAGUGUAGGAGCUCUGUGUCCCAUGAGAGUCCCUCUUGUAUCAGUAGGGCCUUUAUGCAGCCAACUAAACUAGCUCAGUGGUGUAAAUCUGUACUAACAUGGGGAGAAGGUAGGAUCCUUACAUUCAGUGUAGUGAGAUUUGGUAUAUGUACUGCCCAAAAAAGUUACUGAAACUAAAUUGAACAAAAUGUGAGAUAGAUGUGCUGUCCCACCUGUUAGAGAUGAUGAUGGGAGUUUAUUUCACACAAUUAGAAUUUACUAAAAAUCAGAAAUUCAGUCAUGGGAAAUGUUGCCAUUAUAUAUAUAUAUAUAUUCUGACUUGGAACAACAGGAAGGUCAAAAUUAUCACUUAAACAAAAUGUCCAAAAAGCUCAUUUUGAGUUAAUCAUAACAUUUUGUUUUGAUAAUCGACUUGUUUUUAUUUUGACUUUUUAAUUUCAUUUUUAUUUAUAUUAUUUGAUAAAUGACAAACAUUUAAAUAUUUAGCCAGAA